rnacentral:misc_RNA from 1 species
ACCUACUGUUUAAUUUUGAGGGUUCGUUUUUACGAAUACUCAAAAUUAGCACUUUUAGCAACAGAAUAAACUGAACGCAUGUGAAGUUUGUUUGUUGGCGCUGUGCGUUAGCACUUUAAGCAACGGAAUUUAUUCGUUGGCGCCGUGCUUUAGCACUUUGGAAACUGCAUAUAUAUUUAGUGAUAUGACAUCUAAUUUGUAAUAUAUAAAGCUGAUAACUUUUUAAAAUUAUCGAAGUUGAUAGCUUCUAAUCUAUCAAACCUUUUUAACUGGUCAA